rnacentral:lncRNA from 1 species
CUCAUCUGUUGAAAUCGAAUCUCCAAUGUUUUGCCUUUAAGAGGUGGGGCUGUUGGGUCAUGAGGGCAGAACCCUCGUGAAUGGGAAUAAUCCCGCCAUAAAAGAGGCCUGAGGGAGUUUGCUUGCCCCUUUCCUCCUUCCACCAUGUGAGAAUGCAGCAAGAAGGUGCCCUGUAUGAAGCAGAGGGCCCUCACCAGGCACCGAAUCCGGUGGCACCUUGAUGUUGAACUUCUCGGCCUUCAGAACUGAAGUUUUGUGGCCAUGGGGAUGCUGACAAAGAUUGCUUGGGAUGCACACAAGGCAGCGGCGAAGCCUGAGGGGUGCUGCCAGGCCGGGCUCUCCACUGGCCACGAAUUUGUACAUAUGGCUUUGGAAACCUCAUCCAACACUAAGUAAUGAACAUACAUGAGGAUACUAUGUAUUUUUCAACCUGCAAGCCCAAGAUUUCAAAUUCUUUGGUUUAUCGCAGAGAACACAUCUCUCAAAUUGUCUUCAAGGAGCACUGCAGGAGAAAGUCCUGGCAACUUGGCGCAGCGAAUUUGAUCAGCACCAUACGUACGACCUGUCUCAGGAACGGUGCCAUGUGUGUGACUAGGACUGCAAAGCAGCUUGUGUUCGUGGGGGAAAUGACAGGCACAGGAAGGAAAAGCUGAGAACACUGAAACGGUUCCUAAUCGUGCAGUGGGGAAAGGAGGGCGACUGCCGCGCAGAGUGGCACGUUGGCUGGAAGAGGGGAUUGAUCAGCAGUGCUGGCAGGAACAGCAUAGGCUUGUCGUGUGAUCUAACAGAAGAGGCAGCAAUCUGGAGGCGCCCCAGAUCAGAGAAGAGACAUCAAGCCCCAGGAGAAAUGGAUUUCCUUUCUCCCCACCCAUCAGCUGGGUAGGAAGCCCGAAGGAGCCUUUCAUGGAACUAUGGGAAGGGCUCCUCUGACGCAGAGGGGAUGAACUGGAAGCAAGAUGCUGACUGUUUCCAAAGGCUUGACAGUCAGAAGCAGGCAGGCUUCAGCCUAUUGAGAUACUUUACCCAAGAGGAUUUCCGCUUAGGUUCUGUCUUGAAAGAAAUAUUCGCUCCCAAAUUUCCUCCCAUCAAGAGUGCUUCUCCCUACAGAAGGCUAAGGCUCACAGGUUGUCCCCAGGGACACAUUUCUUUCAAGUAGGAUGACUGGUAUGUUUAGACUGAAAAGCUGAUUUACUGGAAGAUUGCUAUCACCCCCUGGCCUACCAUGUCGUUGGUGUGGCCAGUGUUUAUCAGACAGUGGUGUUUCCAGCUUAGGCCUGAAUGGAAGAAGAAACUGAAAGAAGAAAUAAAAAGAGAGAUGCGCCGGGCAUGGUGGCUCAUGCCUGUAAUCCCAGUGCUUUGGGAGGCCGAGGUGGCAGACCACUUGAGGUCAGGAGUUCAAGACCAGCCUGGCCAACAUGGUGAAACCCCGUCCCUACUAAAAAUACAAAAAAUUAGCUGGGUGUGGUGGCGUGUGCCUGUGGUCCCAGCUACUCCGGAGGCUGAGGCAGGAGAAUUGCUUGAACCCGGGAGGCGGAGGUUGCAGUGAGCCAAGAUUGUACCACUGCACUCCAGCCUGGGCAACAGAGUGAUACUCUCUCAAACAAGACAAAACAAACAAAAAAGAGGAGGCUCGGCACGGUGGCUCACGCCUGUAAUCCCACCACUUUGGUAGGCUGAGGCUGGCAUAUCACUUGAGGUUGGGAGUUCGAGACCAGCCUGACCAAUAUGGAGAAACCCCAUCUCUACUAAAAAUGCAAAAUCAGCCAGGUGUGGUGGCGCAUGCCUGUAAUCCCAGCUACUCAGAAGGUUGAGGCAGGAGAAUCGCUUGAACCCGGGAGGCAGAGGUUGCGGUGAGCCAAGAUCACGCCAUUUUACUCCAGCCUAGGCAACAAGAGCAAAACUCCAUCUCAAAAAAAAAAAAAAAAAAAUGGAGAGAGAGAUGUUUCUCAGCUUUGGGAAAUGCUGACUUUUCCAGCACACCUUUGCUCAGAAAAGCCCUAUGAUAUAAAGUGUCAUAGGAACCUUGUCCUUGGAACCAAGCCUAGCCUAGGCUCAGGGACAUCAUGUGGGAGUGACAUAAAGGAGGCUCCUCUGUCACUGUGCUUGGGUUACAAGUAAUUCUCGACAUGGGAGCAUGUUGAUUUCUAACCAUCGGUGGCGGAGCUGUGACUUCCCAAGCUGGUGGCUGACCUCAAGAGGACUAUUAUAGACACUGUGGGACCACGGCCUGAGAAAAGAAUGGCUACCUCCCUCUCUAUCCCAUGACCUCUAACGGCCCGGUCACCACCAUGGCCUUUUGUUCCUGGAGAGGGACAGGAACUUUGGAAAGUGGGGUCGCUCUAUUGCUUCUGCAGGUCAUCUUCCCAGACUUGCCUAAGCCUCAGAAUCUCAGUCUUCUGCUCUGUUUUGCACGUCUUUUUUGAAAGGUUUUUAAAAAUUACAAUCUACUGUACAGAAGAAAAUAAUACACAGAAAAUAAUUUUAGAAAAUAAUACAACAGAUAUCUAAGUAUCCACCACCCAGAUUGGACAACAUAUUAACAUUUUGCCCCAUCUAUAUCAGAUAUUAUUUAUUUUCUUUUUUACUUAUUUUUGAGACAGAAUCUCGCUCUGUCGCCCAGGCUGGAGCGCAGUGGUGUGAUCUCAGCUCACUGCAACCUCUGCCUCCCAGGUUCAAGCGAUUCUCCUGCCUCAGCCUCCCGAGUAGCUGGGACUAGUGGUGUGCACCACCAUGCCCAGCUAACUUUUGUAUUUUUAGUAGAGACAGGGUUUCACCAUGUUGGCCAGGAUGGUCUCGAUCUCUUGAUCUCGUGAUCCGCCCGCCUCAGCCUUCUACAGUGCUGGGAUUACAGGCAUGAGCCACCUCGCCCAGCCUAUUUUUAUUUUUUUUAAGACAUGGUCUUGCUCUGUCACCCAGGCUGGAGUGCAGUGGCACGAUCUUGGUUCACUGUGGCCUUGACCUUCCAGGUGCAAGCAAUCCUCCCAUCUCAGCCUCCUGUGUAGCUGGGACUACAGGAGCAUACUGCCACACUUGGCUGAUUAAAACAUUUUUUCUUUCUGCAGAGACAGGGUCUUACCAUGUUGCCUAGGCUGGUCUUGAACUCCUGGGCUCAAGUGAUUCCCCUGCCUCCGGCUCCCAAAGUAAUGGGAUUACAGGCAUGAGCCAGCAUGCCCAGCCUAUAUCAGAUUUUUUUAAAAUUGCAGAUAGAAUUAAAAACUUGCUUAUCUAUUUUUAGUAGAGGGAAAAACCUAAAUAAGUUUAAUUCUAGUAAGUUGCUGACUCUACACAACAACUUCCUUUCAGUCUUCAGAUAAUGGAAACUUUGUGGAUUUAUGCACAGCACCCAAACCCCAGAGAUCUGCCCCAACAGAAAGAUUGCCAACAAAAUGUUUGUCUUAAUACUUGAACAAAUUUUUCUCAAACUUACAUUGUAUAUUUUUCUCCACCAGUUUGCUAAAUGUCCACAAGGUUAAUACCCGCCCAGCCAAAUGAAAAGACCACUGGGAUCAGGUGCGGUGGCUCACACCUGUUAUCUGUUCCAGCUACUUGGGGAGGCUGAGGUGGGAGGAUCGCUGUAGCCUGGGAAAUCGAGGCCGCAGUGAGCUAUGAUCAAGCCACUGCACUCCAGCCUGGCCAACAGCGCAAGAGCCUGCUCUAAAAAAUCAAAAUAAAAAAAAAAAGAGCAUUGGGUCUCCAAAGGUAACAGGUGUGAAAUACACCUUAGCCUACUCAGAAUUUUGCCCCAUGAAAUAAGUAAGGAUUAUUAAAUAUUUCUGGAAACUCAAACAACUCUUUAAACAAUGUUCACAAUUUUUCAAUGUCCACAUCAGCCAAACCCACGGAAAGCUAAGCAUUAAUUCACCUACUGUUGGAGAGGCUAGACUAUUUAAGGAAUCUCUCCUGAAUUCUAGUCCUGAAUUUCCAAUGCAACUCGUGUCCACUAGAAUGUUCUGUGAAUGUUUCAAGCUUGAAACGCCUGCAGCCAAACUUGUUUUCUUUCCAUCCAAUUAUAUCCUCUUUCCAAUGUUCCCCUUUUUUCAUUAAAGGCACCACUAUUCUUCCAGCCAUCCUGAUUCACAGCCUCAGAGCUGGCCUCAAUUUCCUUGUCUCCUUCGUCUUCCACAUCCAAUUAUUCACUAAAUCCUGUUGAAUUUUUCUCAAAAUAUUUCUUGCACCUGUUUACUCCAUUCUGCUCCCACUGCCACCUUUCUAAUGAAGUAUUUUCCACCUGUGUGUUUCGGCUCCUGCAGCAGAUUCUGCAUCUCCCCUUUCUCCUUUCAAUGAAUUAUCAGUAUCAGAUUAAUCUGCUGAAAGAAGCACUGUGUGCCAUCCUGCUCAACAUAAUUCAGUGAUUCCCAGAUGGCUUACCAAAUAACAGCUUUUAAAAAAAUCCAGAACCUUCAGUGAUCUUCACGAUCUUUAUAUGUCCACCUUCCUAGACACAUCCCACAUUAGGAACCCAUUGAAACCUCUGCCCCAGGCGCAUGGCACUACUGGCUUGCUAAUUCUGAUUCCUGUUCAAGUAUUUCUUUGGCCUAAGUAUUCCUUCCCCUCCUUCACUACAUGAACCAAUCUUCAUGGUGCUUAAUAUGAACCAGAUCAUCUGGUGGGCCUCUAAUACAACAGUGAACAAGACAGAAACAACCCCUGCCUCCAUAUACUCCUUACAGCCUAGUGGAGAAAACAAAAGAUGAACUGGCAGUUGGCAUGCCAGGCUGUGCAGGAAGAACUGUGACAAGGAAAGACA